rnacentral:rRNA from 1 species
GACGAACGCUGGCGGCGUGCUUAACACAUGCAAGUCGAACGGUGAAGCGCCUUCCUUUUUGGUGGGUGUGGAUGAGUGGCGAACGGGUGAGUAACACGUGAGUAACCUGCCCCCUUCUUCUGGAUAACCGCAUGAAAGUGUGGCUAAUACGGGAUAUUCUGGGUCUGUCGCAUGAUGGGUCUGGGAAAGAUAUUGUUUCGGUGGGGGAUGGGCUCGCGGCCUAUCAGCUUGUUGGUGGGGUGAUGGCCUACCAAGGCGGUGACGGGUAGCCGGCCUGAGAGGGUGGACGGUCACACUGGGACUGAGACACGGCCCAGACUCCUAUGGGAGGCAGCAGUGCGGAAUAUUGCACAAUGGGCGCAAGCCUGAUGCAGCGACGCCGCGUGAGGGAUGGAGGCCUUCGGGUUGUGAACCUCUUUCGCCAGUGAAGCAUGCCUGCCUCGUUUGUGGGUGGGUUGACGGUAGCUGGAUAAGAAGCGCCGGCUAACUACGCG